GACGAACGCUGGCGGCGUGCUAAACACAUGCAAGUCGAACGAUGAAGCUAGAGCUUGCUCUGGUGGAUUAGUGGCGAACGGGUGAGUAACACGUGAGUACCUGCCCCGAACUCUGGGAUAACUGCUGGAAACGGUAGCUAAUACUGGAUACGACCAACGAAGGCAUCUUCUGUUGGUGGAACGAAUUUCGGUUCGGGAUGGACGCGCGGCCUAUCAGCUUGGUGGUGAGGUAACGGCUCACCAAGGCGACGACGGGUAGCCGGCCUGAGAGGGGGAUCGGCCACGCUGGGACUGAGACACGGCCCAGACUCCUCGGGGAGGCAGCAGUGGGGAAUAUUGCACAAGGGGCGCAAGCCUGAUGCAGCAACGCCGCGUGAGGGACGACGGCCUUCGGGUUGUAAACCUCUUUUAGUAGGGAAGAAGCGAAAGUGACGGUACCUGCAGAAAAAGCACCGGCUAACUACGUGCCAGCAGCCGCCGUAA
rnacentral:rRNA from 1 species